rnacentral:rRNA from 1 species
UACGUAGGAGGCGAGCGUUGUCCGGAGUUACUGGGCUUAAAGGGUGCGUAGGCGGUGGAGUAAGUCGGAUGUGAAAUACCUUAGCUUAACUAGGGAACUGCACUCGAUACUACUUUGCUAGAGUAAGACAGAGGUGAGUGGAACUGAGGGUGGAGCGGUGAAAUGCGUUGAUAUCCUCAGGAACACCGGUGGCGAAGGCGACUCACUGGGUCUUUACUGACGCUGAUGCACGAAAGCUAGGGUAGCAAACGGG